rnacentral:rRNA from 1 species
AACGAACGCUGGCGGCGUGCUUAACACAUGCAAGUCGAGCGAGAAAGGGGGGGCAACCCCCUGAGUAGAGCGGCGCACGGGUGAGUAACGCGUGGGUAACCUACCCCCAGGCGGGGGAUAACCACUCGAAAGGGUGGCUAAUACCGCAUGAGACCACGGGAUCUUCGGAUCCUGAGGCUAAAGAUUGCACCGGCUUGCCGGUGCCGUCACCAGGGGAUGGGCCCGCGUCCGAUUAGCUAGUUGGCGAGGUAAUGGCUCACCAAGGCUACGAUCGGUAGCUGGUCUGAGAGGAUGAUCAGCCACACUGGAACUGAAACACGGUCCAGACUCCUACGGGAGGCAGCAGUGAGGAAUAUUGCGCAAUGGGGGAAACCCUGACGCAGCAACGCCGCGUGGGUGAAGAAGGCCUUCGGGUCGUAAAGCCCUUUCGGACGGGACGAACGCUUCGCGGUGAAAGCCGCGAAGUCUGACGGUACC